rnacentral:pre_miRNA from 1 species
AUGUGAAAGAUCUGAAAAUCUUAUUAAAAUAGAGAUUCUGAUUCAGUAGAAUGAGACCUGAGAAUCUGCAUUACUAAUAAGCCACCAGGUGAUGCUGAU